rnacentral:rRNA from 10 species
UACCACUUUGUGAUUCAUGACUGGGGUGAAGUCGUAACAAGGUAACCGUAGGGGAACCUGCGGUUGGAUCACCUCCUUACCUUAAAGAAGC